UUCAAGUGUUCGCAAUAAUCUACGAAAUCUGUCAAUAUCUUUCGACACAAACCCUAGAGUGGUUACUUCAAGUGUAAUAACUUCAAACGCAUAACACGCCGUGAUCAGCUCAGAUCUUAGAUGUCUGUAUCUUUCUUUCUUGCGACGUUUAGCCUUCGUACAAUUGGUUUCGUAGGGAACAGUUAAUUCAACCACAUAUGCAGAACCCUUAAAAUCCACCACUAUAUCUGGUC